rnacentral:ncRNA from 1 species
CAUGUUGAGCUUUUCAAAUGAGAUAUACUAUGGAAUAGGGCAGAGCCCAGCGCCGAAUCCCACCCCGCCCCGGUGGGACGCGGGAAAUUUGGCAUACGGAAGACCCACUCCCCGUCCCCUCUGUGGGGACCCCAAGUCCUUCUGAGGCCCAUCCCGUGGAUGGUAUGAGGCCGGUAGCAGCCCUGGCCCGCCGGUCUGGGUCUUCCCAGAGUCAGGGUGCUUGGGAAUGCACCCCAAAGUGGGUGGUAAUCUCCAUCUAAGGCUAAAUACGGCAGGAGACCAAUAGUCAACAAGUACUAUAAGGGAAAGUUGAAAAGAACUUUAAAGAAAGAGUUCAAGAGGGCGUGAGACCCUUAAGAGGUAAACGGGGGCCGCGAACUCCGCCAGGAGGAUUCAACCCGCCUGCAUCAUGG